AUACGGAGGAUGCAAGCGUUAUCCGGAUUUAUUGGGUUUAAAGGGUGCGUAGGCGGUUUGCUAAGCGGGAGGUGAAAUGCCGGCGCUCAACGUCGGAAGUGCCUCCCGAACUGGUGGACUGGAAUGACUCUGCCGUGGGAGGAAUGUGUAGUGUAGCGGUGAAAUGCUUAGAGAUUACACAGAACACCGAUUGCGAAGGCAUCUCACGAAGGGUUGAUUGACGCUGAGGCACGAAAGCGUGGGGAUCAAACAGGAUUAGAUACCCUGGUAGUCCACGCAGUAAACGAUGAUGGCUAACCGCUGGUUUAUUCGGAUCAGUGGCCAAGCGUAAGCGAUAAGCCAUCCACCUGGGGAGUACGACCGCAAGGUUGAAACUCAAAGGAAUUGACGGGG
rnacentral:rRNA from 1 species